GAUGAACGCUGGCGGCGUGCCUAAUACAUGCAAGUCGAGCGAACGGACGAGAAGCUUGCUUCUCUGAUGUUAGCGGCGGACGGGUGAGUAACACGUGGAUAACCUACCUAUAAGACUGGGAUAACUUCGGGAAACCGGAGCUAAUACCGGAUAAUAUUUUGAACCGCAUGGUUCAAAAGUGAAAGACGGUCUUGCUGUCACUUAUAGAUGGAUCCGCGCUGCAUUAGCUAGUUGGUAAGGUAACGGCUUACCAAGGCAACGAUGCAUAGCCGACCUGAGAGGGUGGUCGGCCACACUGGAACUGAGACACGGUCCAGACUCCUACGGGAGGCAGCAGUAGGGAAUCGUCCGCAAUGGGCGAAAGCCUGACGGAGCAACGCCGCGCGAGUGAUGAAGGUCUUCGGAUCGUAAAACUCUGUUAUUAGGGAAGAACAUAUGUGUAAGUAACUGUGCACAUCGUGACGGUACCUAAUCAGAAAGCCACGGCUAACUACGUG
rnacentral:rRNA from 1 species